rnacentral:rRNA from 1 species
AUUGAACGCUGGCGGCAUGCUUUACACAUGCAAGUCGAACGGUAACAGGGAGCUUGCUCCGCUGACGAGUGGCGAACGGGUGAGUAAUGCGUCGGAACGUGCCGAGUAGUGGGGGAUAACGCAGCGAAAGUUGUGCUAAUACCGCAUACGUACUGAGGUAGAAAGUGGGGGACCUUCGGGCCUCACGCUAUUCGAGCGGCCGACGUCUGAUUAGCUAGUAGGUGAGGUAAAGGCUUACCUAGGCGACGAUCAGUAGCGGGUCUGAGAGGAUGAUCCGCCACACUGGUACUGAGACACGGCCCAGACUCCUACGGGAGGCAGCAGUGGGGAAUUUUGGACAAUGGGCGAAAGCCUGAUCCAGCCAUGCCGCGUGUCUGAAGAAGGCCUUCGGGUUGUAAAGGACUUUUGUCGGGGAGGAAAUCCCCAGCGCUAAUACCGCUGGGGGAUGACAGUACCUGAAGAAUAAGCACCGGCUAACUACGUGCCAGCAGCCGCCGUAACAC